rnacentral:misc_RNA from 1 species
AGAGAAUUGACUCCUCUUUGGAUUUUGGGGCCCUUAACGACUGCUUUCUACAUCAAGAUGUUUCACUGGUUGUGUGCGCUCUAUAUCUUCAGCUUUAAGCAGACGGCUAAACUAAUAAAGAACUCCCCCACUUACUACCAGACAGCACAUCACUAUAUCGUACAAGGGAAACUUAAAGAAGAGUUCGUAGCUCGUUUCUUGCAACCUAUAAUCAACAUUAAGAAUCUAGACUACAAAGAACUAUCACAAAGAAAGCUCAUAGAGUUAAGAGAGUGGGUUGUUGAGAAGUACCUUGACUUUGUGGAAUCAAUUUGGCCAUACUACUGCAGAACAAUCAGGUUUUUAAAGAGAGCUAAUCUGAUUUAGACUACACGGUUUGUAUUUUGAGGCAAAUCAUUACCAAGAGCAAAGGCUAGAUCCAGUUUCUU